UACGGGGGGGGCAAGCGUUGUUCGGAAUUACUGGGCGUAAAGGGCUCGUAGGUGGCCACCUAAGUCAGACGUGAAAUCCCUCGGCUUAACCGGGGAACUGCGUCUGAUACUGGAUGGCUUGAGUUUGGGAGAGGGACGCGGAAUUCCAGGUGUAGCGGUGAAAUGCGUAGAUAUCUGGAGGAACACCGGUGGCGAAGGCGGCGUCCUGGACCAACACUGACACUGAGGAGCGAAAGCCAGGGGAGCAAACGGG
rnacentral:rRNA from 1 species